AAUACGUUCCCGGGCCUUGUACACACCGCCCGUCAAGCCAUGGAAGCUGGGGGUGCCUGAAGUCGGUGACCGUAAGGAGCUGCCUAGGGUAAAACUGGUAACUAGGGCU
rnacentral:rRNA from 1 species